rnacentral:rRNA from 1 species
UUACUAGAGUAGCACUCGCAUAUCAAUAAGCGGAGGAAAAGAAACUAACAAGGAUUCCCCUAGUAAUGGCGAGUGAAGCGGGAAGAGCUCAAAUUUGAAAUCUUAAAGGGUUUCCCUUUACGAAUUGUAGUUUAAAGAAGUGUUUUCUGUUGAGGUUUUGGUAAAAGUUCUUUGGAAUAGGACAUCAUAGAGGGUGAGAAUCCCGUAUUUGACCUUUACUUUCAACUUUGUGAUACACUUUCAAAGAGUCGGAUUGUUUGGGAAUGCAGUCCAAAAUGGGUGGUAAAUUUCAUCUAAAGCUAAAUAUUGGCGAGAGACCGAUAGCGAACAAGUACCGUGAGGGAAAGAUGAAAAGAACUUUGAGAAGAGAGUUAAACAGUACGUGAAAUUGUCAAAAGGGGAAGCGUUUGACACCAGUGUUGUUUUUCUGAAAAUCAAUUAAAGAACUGUUUAUGCUAAGUUGUUUAGACUUUAUCAGCUAACUGUUUAGUUUUGAGCUUUUCUUUAAUGCACUUUUCAGUUAACAAGUCAACAUCAAUUUCUUUUGCUGUAAAAAAGCUUGAGGAAGGUGGCUUGAGAUUCGUCUUAAGUGUUUAUAGCCUCUUGCCUAUGCAGUCGGAGAGAUUGAGGUCUGCAGCGUAGAUCCUUCGGGGCUAAAUGCAUUUGUGCUAAGUUAUAGCAUUUUAUAGACAACUUGUUGACUAUGAUUUGUCUUGUAGCUUACUCGCUUAUGUUAUUUUACCUACGCUUAGGAUGUUGAGCGCAUGUCUCUCUCU